AGUCAUGUGGCCGAGUGGUUUAGGUACAGGUCUGCAAAACCUUUUACGGCGGUUCGAGUCCGCCCAUGACGUCGA
rnacentral:tRNA from 1 species